CGAACGGGUGAGUAACACGUGAGCAACCUGCCCCGAAGACUGGAAUAACACCGGGAAACCGGUGCUAAUACUGGAUACCCCCACCAGGCCGCAUGACCAGGUGAGGAAAUGAAUUUCGCUUUGGGAGGGGCUCGCGGGCUAUCAGCUUGUUGGUGGGGUAACGGCCUACCAAGGCGACGACGGCUAGCUGGUCUGAGAGGACGACCAGCCACACUGGGACUGAGACACGGCCCAG
rnacentral:rRNA from 1 species